CCCAGCUCAUCAUGCUAGAGCACUUUUUCAAUGUGCUCCCCAAGGACAAGGCGACGACGCAUUCGUUUGUCAAUCCAUAUCAACGUCCGAUGCCAUUUACUGUGCCUACCAUGGUGACUACGGGUAACAGGGAAUCAGGGUUCGAUUCCAUACAGGGACCCUGAUAAAUGGCUACCACAUGCAAGGAAGGCAGCAGGCGCACAAAUGACGCACUCCCGACGCGGACAGGUAGUGACG